UACGUAGGGUGCGAGCGUUAAUCGGAAUUACUGGGCGUAAAGCGUGCGCAGGCGGUCUGUUAAGACCGAUGUGAAAUCCCCGGGCUUAACCUGGGAACUGCAUUGGUGACUGGUAGGCUUUGAGUGUGGCAGAGGGAGGUAGAAUUCCACGUGUAGCAGUGAAAUGCGUAGAGAUGUGGAGGAAUACCGAUGGCGAAGGCAGCCUCCUGGGCCAACACUGACGCUCAUGCACGAAAGCGUGGGGAGCAAACAGG
rnacentral:rRNA from 1 species